CCAUGACCCUGCCGUGGCCCUCUCCUGGCCCUUCCUUGAUCCUGCCCUGCCCUUCCAUGCCCUGGCCUUGCCCUCACCCUGCAUUGGCCCUGCACUGGUCCUGCCCUGCCCUGGCACUGCCUUGGCCCCGGCCCUGCCUUCUUCCUGGCCUUGCCUUUGCCCUGCCCUGGCCUGACCCCAGGCCUACUGAGUCCAUGAAAUGGCCCUGGACCUGCCUUGCCAUCCUCUGUCCUGGCCCUAUAUUGUCCCCACCAUGCUCUGGUCCAGCGCUUGCCCUAGCCCUGUUGCUAGUCCUGCCACUGCUAUGGCCCUGCUCUGUUUUUGGCCGUGCCCUGUGCUACCCUAGCCCUGCCCUGCCUUGGCCUUGGCCCUACCAUGGCCUUCUCCUACCCUGGCCUUUUCUACCCUGGCCUUGCCCUUCCCUGGUCUUGCCCUGCCCUGGCCUUGCCCUGCCCUGGCCUUGGCUUUGCCUUAUCCUGGUCCUGGUUCUGCCCUGACCCUGGCCUUGCUCUGGAUCCUCUCUGGUUCUGCUUUCUCCCUGGCCCUGCCCUUGCUCUGGCCCUGUCCCUGGACCAGCCUUGACCCUGACCCUGACAAUCCCCAGGUCUGACACUGGCCAUGCUUGGCCCUGGCCCCUCCUUUUGGCCCUGCCUUAGCCCUGUGCUAUCUUAGUCCUGCCCUGGCCCUGAACUCACCCUGGUCCUACCCUCACCCUACACUGGCCCUGCCCUAUCCUGGCCUUGCCCUGCCCUGGCCCUGCCUUUGGCCUGCUCUGGCUCUGGUUCUGCCCUGGACUUGCCCUUGCCCUGGACCCUCCCUGGCCAUGUUUUUCCCAUGGUCCUUCUCUGGCCUUGCCCUUGCCCUGUCCCCUUUCUGGUCCUGCCAUGUUUCUGGCCCUGCCCUGUCC
rnacentral:lncRNA from 1 species